rnacentral:rRNA from 1 species
GACAGAGGAUGCAAGCGUUAUCCGGAAUGAUUGGGCGUAAAGCGUCUGUAGGUGGCUUUUUAAGUCCGCCGUCAAAUCCCAGGGCUCAACCCUGGACAGGCGGUGGAAACUACCAAGCUGGAGUACGGUAGAGGCAGGCGGAAUUCCGGGUGUAGCGGUGGAAUGCGUAGAGAUCCGGAAGAACACCGGUGGCGAAGGCGGCCUGCUGGGCAGUUUGCUGACACUGAGGCGCGACAGCGUGGGAGCAAACAGG